GGUAACCUGCCUGUAAGACUGGGAUAACUCCGGGAAACCGGGGCUAAUACCGGAUGGUUGUUUGAACCGCAUGGUUCAGACAUAAAAGGUGGCUUCGGCUACCACUUACAGAUGGACCCGCGGCGCAUUAGCUAGUUGGUGAGGUAACGGCUCACCAAGGCGACGAUGCGUAGCCGACCUGAGAGGGUGAUCGGCCACACUGGGACUGAGACACGGCCCAGACUCCUACGGGAGGCAGCAGUAGGGAAUCUUCCGCAAUGGACGAAAGUCUGACGGAGCAACGCCGCGUGAGUGAUGAAGGUUUUCGGAUCGUAAAGCUCUGUUGUUAGGGAAGAACAAGUGCCGUUCAAAUAGGGCGGCACCUUGACGGUACCUAACCAGAAAGCCACGGCUAACUACGUGCCAGCAGCCGCGGUAAUACGUAGGUGGCAAGCGUUGUCCGGAAUUAUUGGGCGUAAAGGGCUCGCAGGCGGUUUCUUAAGUCUGAUGUGAAAGCCCCCGGCUCAACCGGGGAGGGUCAUUGGAAACUGGGGAACUUGAGUGCAGAAGAGGAGAGUGGAAUUCCACGUGUAGCGGUGAAAUGCGUAGAGAUGUGGAGGGAACACCAGUGGCGAAGGCGACUCUCUGGUCUGUAACUG
rnacentral:rRNA from 2 species